rnacentral:rRNA from 1 species
ACUCCUACGGGAGGCAGCAGUGGGGAAUAUUGCACAAUGGGGGAAAACCCUGAUGCAGCCAUGCCGCGUGUGUGAAGAAGGCCUUCGGGUUGUAAAGCACUUUCAGUUGUGAGGAAAGGUUAGUCGCUAAUAUCGGCUAGCUGUGACGUUAGANCAAGAACGAACGCAAAGAACCGGGCCAGCCAGGCUUAAACCUUCCCGGUUGGCCCAGCCAGCCGCGGUAAUACGGAGGGUGCGAGCGUUAAUCGGAAUUACUGGGCGUAAAGCGCGUGUA